ACUACGGGCGGCAGCAGUGGGGGAUAUUGCACAAUGGGGGGAACCCUGAUGCAGCGACGCCGCGUGGGUGAAGAAGCGCCUCGGCGCGUAAAGCCCUGUCAGCAGGGAAGAAAAUGACGGUACCUGAAGAAGAAGCCCCGGCUAACUACGUGCCAGCAGCCGCGGUAAUACGUAGGGGGCAAGCGUUAUCCGGAUUUACUGGGUGUAAAGGGGGCGCAGACGGGGAUGCAAGCCAGGAGGGAAAGCCCGGGGCCCAACCCCGGGACUGCUCUUGGAACUGCGUGGCUGGAGUGCAGGAGGGGCAGGCGGAAUUCCUGGUGUAGCGGUGAAAUGCGUAGAUAUCAGGAGGAACACCGGUGGCGAAGGCGGCCUGCUGGACUGCAACUGACGUUGAGGCCCGAAAGCGUGGGGAGCAAACAGGAUUAGAUACCCCUGUAGUC
rnacentral:rRNA from 1 species